rnacentral:rRNA from 1 species
GACGAACGCUGGCGGCGUGCUUAACACAUGCAAGUCGAACGGAAAGGCCCUGCUUUUGUGGGGUGCUCGAGUGGCGAACGGGUGAGUAACACGUGAGUAACCUGCCCUUGACUUUGGGAUAACUUCAGGAAACUGGGGCUAAUACCGGAUAGGAGCUCCUGCUGCAUGGUGGGGGUUGGAAAGUUUCGGCGGUUGGGGCUGGACUCGCGGCUUAUCAGCUUGUUGGUGGGGUAGUGGCUUACCAAGGCUUUGACGGGUAGCCGGCCUGGGAGGGUGACCGGCCACAUGAGGACUGAGAUACGGCCCAGACUCCUACGGGAGGCAGCAGGGGGGAAUAUUGCACAAUGGGCGGAAGCCUGAUGCAGCAACGCCGCGUGCGGGAUGACGGCCUUCGGGUUGUAAACCGCUUUCGCCUGUGACGAAGCGUGAGUGACGGUAAUGGGUAAAGAAGCACCGGCUAACUACGUG